rnacentral:rRNA from 1 species
UUUGGGGAGCUGUAAGUAUGCUUUGAUCCAGAGAUUUACGAAUGGGGAAACCCGGCAUAGGUUAUUUCAUGUUAUUGUUUUGUGAUUACAUAGCAGAUCAGAGGGAACUCCCGGAGAACUGAAUCAUCUAAGUACCCGGAGGAAACGAAAGAAAAUCCGAUUCACUUACUAGCGUCGAGCGAAAUGGUAAGAGCCCAAACAAACAA